GCAAGGUUAUCCAGGCUGAUUUUCCUGCAACGUUGAAGCUAAUAUGCAAUGACAGCAACAAACAAGCAUGUUUUUCAAACUAAAGGCAACAUUCUUAGGCUGUUGCAUCCAGAGAAGGAUGCAUUCACUGCAGAUGUUGUAAUGACAGUAAGAAACUAAGAAAGCAUAUUAAUGCAGAAAUUCUGAUUUGUUGAUGAAUCGUUUUUUCACAAACCACUGUCAUCGAAGUGCCACUGUGACUGAGAAAUCCAAAAUUUUCAGCUGAAUUCUUCGAUUCCAUAGACAAUCUAGACACUUUCGCUGGAUCACACACUCCAAUCCCAAACAACGACAUCCUCUCUGCAAGCUCGACCGGAUACAAAUCCUCUACCCUCUUAUCAACCCACUUCCUCAAUUCACCCAGACCAAUAGCCACCACCACCCUUUCCCUCCCAAUCACCCUAAUUCUCUUACAAUCUCAGCCUUAAUCAUAAAACACAUAUCUCAACGCCUCUUCCCCAGCUGUCCACUUUUGUUAACCCUAUCCAGCAAAAGGAUGCCUAUAUAGCCAUGAGACUGGUGGAAAAGCUUCAUAGAAUUCACAAUGACGCGUCUAGCCAGAGAAAAAAGCAAUUUGUAUACUAUUGUGUGCAAACCGUGGCCAUGCCAACCUAAUGCCUGUUUAUUUGCUUGAGUGAUCCCAAAACAAUAAAAAUUCUUCACUUCACUUUGACCAAGCAAUCACGUAUAUUUUAUAUUUUUAUACAAACCUUGAAGUAGAGAUCACGCUCACCACCAAUCUCCAAAGAAAGUCUCAACAAGAAACACAGAUUCUCCAAGCAUGUUUGUGUCCACAACCAGCACCACCAACGAAGAAAAAGGAAUGGUACUUCAGGAAUAGUCUUCCAGACCAGCUUAGACCUUGCAAGGAUGAGAUCCCCGAAGUUCAGGAGGAUUAUCUCUGACUCAGGCCUCUCAUGAUGGCACACUUCAUUAAUGUUCCACAGGAAAUUGGUAUAUUUGCAGAAGAUGGUGGCCUGGUGGGUCGGUAUUCAAGCCUCUUAUUCGAGGGGCUGUUCCUGGUUUAAAAGUUUGGUGAUAGGGUAUCCUAAGGCGUUGGACAGAGAAUGUGUAAUGGUCAAUGGUGCUGCUGUUUCUGCUCUAGGCAAAAUAAUGCAGUUCCAUCUUGAAAGACUCAAUGUGGCAAAGGUAUGUUUACUUGAUUCUUCUUUCCAGAUUAUUGGCAAAAGAAGCCUUUGUGCUUUACCAAAUGCAUUUACAUUUCUUAGUGAAUUUCUUCUUAGACUUUCCUUUCUGGACUGAUCUUGUGAGUUCUAGCUCAGUUGAAAGUAAAAAGAGAUGUUUUGCAUGAUUCCAUUGCAUUUUUGGAAAGAAAUCCUCCGAUAUUUGUCAACAAUUCAUGCUCUGAAAUAGUACAACACCAAUAUUUUCUCAAAAAUGCUGGUCAGUGAUCAUUCUGUCAAGUGUGAAGCUGGU